rnacentral:sRNA from 1 species
GGUCUGAGCCGGUCUUGGGCCAUGACAAAGGGCCCGCCGCAAGGCGGGCCUUUCUUUUUGCUGUA